GUCUGAAAUACCAUCCUGAAUCUGCCCAGCCUUAGCUCCGAGUCUGGAUCCACAGCUUCUCCUCCCCCACUGCUCUCUCAUUUCACAGGCUGCCCUGUCUCUCUCUAUAGCUUUGCUUCCAUAACCCAGGCCUCAGGGCUCUCCUUAUUUGUAACUUCCUAAUUUAGACCCUGGCCAGUAGAAAUGUAUACAGUGAGCAGAGGAGAAGGUCUUAUUUUAGCCAGAACUCCUGAUGCUAAGAAUCAACUCUCAGUUGAAGUGGACCAGGGCCCCCCAUCUGAUGGCCUGGGCCACCCGAGGAGUCUACUUGGGAUGCGUAAUUCACAGGCUCCGUGCAGGGAGAUGUUUAUGGACGCAUUCUACACAUCUCUGGCAUCCUUCUCCAUGAAGCCCGAACCACGCUGGAGAUUUAUGUGACGUGCCUGCUCCCCCUUCGCCUUCCACAAUGAUUAUAAACUUCCUGAGGCCUCCUUAGAAGUCAAGAAGAUACCAGCACCAUGCCUUUUCUAAACCCUACAGAACCAUGAGCCAAUUAA
rnacentral:lncRNA from 1 species